rnacentral:lncRNA from 1 species
GGAGGAACUGGGAGGGACUGGGAGGAACUGGGAGGAACUGGGAGGGACUGGGGGGAACUGGGAGGAACUGGGGGGAACUGGGAGGAACUGGGAGGAACUGGGAGGGACUGGGAGGAACUGGGAGGAACUGGGAGGAGUUUAUUGAGUUCCGCACAGCCCCGGGGACACCGCGGGCUCCCACGGGGACACUUUGGGGACACUUUGGGGACAGCCAGACCCCUCCUGUCCUCCCCAGAGGGACCUGGGGACACUUUGGGGACCCCCUGUCCUCGCCAGAGGGGUCUGGGGACACUCUGGGGACACUUUGGGGACCUCCAGCCCCUUGUCCCCAGCCUGGGGGUCGCUGCCUGUCCUUGGGGCCACCCUGGGGACACCUUGGGGACACUCUGGGGACCCUUGGGACACCCCAGGGACACUCUGGGGACACUCUGGGAACUUUGAGGACCCCAGGACCACCCCGGUGCCACCUUGGGGACCUUGAGGCCACCCCGGUGCCACCUUGGGGACCCUGGGGCCACCCUGAGGACCCCGGGGCCACCUCAGGGCCACCUCGGGGCCACCUUGGGAACUUUGAGGACCCCAGGACCACCCUGGGGACACCUUGGGGACCUUGAGGCUGCCCUGGGGACCCUGGGGCCACCUUGGGGCCACCUUGGGGACCCCAGGACCACCUUGGGACCACCCUGGUGCCACCUUGGGGAUCUUGAGGCCACCUCGGGGACCCCGGGACCACCCUGGGGCCACCCUGGUGCAACCCUGGGGACCCUGGGGCUACCUUGGGGACCCCGGGACCACCCCAGUGCCACCUUGGGGACCUUGAGGCUGCUCUGGGGACCCCGGGGCCACCUCAGGGCCACCUCGGGGACCCCAGGAUCAUCCUGAGGCCACCCUGGUGCCACCUUGGGGACCCUGGGGCUACCUUGGGGACACCUUGGGGCCAUCCCGGUGACACCUUGGGGACCUUGAGGCCACCUUGGGGACCCCAGGACCACCUUGGGACCACCCUGGUGCCACCUUGGGGACCCUGGGGCCAUCCCGGUGUCACCUUGGGGACCUUGAGGCCACCUUGGGGACCCCAGGAUCACCUUGGGACCACCCUGGUGCCACUUUGGGGACCCUGGGGCCACCCUGGGGACCCUGAGGCCACUCUGAGGACCCCAGGGCCACCUCAGGGCCACCUCAGGGCCACCUUGGGGCCACCCUGGGAACUUCGAGGACCCCAGGACCACCCUGGGGACACCUUGGGGACCUUGAGGCUGCUCUGGGG